rnacentral:rRNA from 1 species
UACAACGCACUACCUGUUCAUAGUAGUCGUUGCUGUCAACAGCACACUGCUCACCAUCAACGCAGGGGACUACAUCUUCUACACAGACUGGGCGUGGACGUCCUUCGUUGUGUUCUCGGUUUCGCCGUCGACGUUGCUUGCGGUAUGCGAAAUAUCCUACAUGUUAUUCCCAGGUGUUCCAGGCACCGCACCCUAUGACGACACUACCAGGACCAUCUACCCAUUGUUCGCAAAUGCGCAAGGUAUUGCCCUUUUCUACCCCUACGACUUAUGCGGGCGACAAGACGCAACAAGCACGCUGCCAUACUGAUUGGCGGUACGCUGGUUGGCCUAUCCUUCCCGCUGUUCAACAUGGUCAACCUGUUGCUUGUAAGGGACCCGCUCGAGGUGGCCUUCAAGUAUCCGAGACCGACUCUGCCCGCGUACAUGACGCCUAUAGAGCCUCAGGUAGGGAAGUUCUACAACUCGCCUGUCGCCCUGGGUUCAGGUGCCGGUGCAGUGCUAACGGUACCCAUCGCUGCGUUGGGUGCAAAACUAAACACGUGG